AAAAUCUAUUUUUUCUGUUUUGUCAGUCCAAAAAAACCACAGACGGCCAAUGUUUUAGUGUUUGAAAAGUAUUGUCUGCAGCCUUAUGAGGUGAAACCAUUUUCAAUGCUAAACAUUUUGAUGUUUACUUUUUUUCACUUAUCUUAAAAAUUCAGCAGGCAAUGGCUGAGUCAGGAUGCGAAUGGUAGACCUUCAGAGAAACCCCACCCAGUAAAGAAAGGACACAGAUUAUUCAUAUUGGGGUGCAGAAAAAGCCUGGGACUAUUUCUCUAUCAACUCUGCAAUUUCACACACAUACGCAUUCAGACAGGCCAGCAAGCUACACAGGCAUCAUCUAUACUAGCUCCAUAAAUGCUCCUUUGUCUGGAUCAGGAAAGAUUGGAGGGCAGCUGUGGAAGUAGCCAUUGACUCUGCUAGCGUGUUCCAUGCUGCUGCUCUAAGGCCAGGACAUCAGUCACUGUUCCAGUUCUUCAAGUGGAACUGAUGCCAUGGGAAUGGGCUGAUGAGCAGAUCAAACAGAGAUUUUCAGAAAGGUCCAUGUGGCACUCCAGGCUACAGAACUACCAGCAAACAAACAACUGAUUUCAAAAAUCUGACCCCAGGCAGAGCUCAUAUCCUUCUUAGUACACCACCCUCUGAUGUAUUCACCUGAGAGGAAAGAUUUUCCAGUUCUUUGAUCAUUCUCAUCCCAACUCUCUGAACUCUCUCUAAUUCAGCAAUAUCCUUCCGGAGAGGGGGUGAUCAGCACUGCACAAAGGAUACAGCCUCAGAUUGAGCAGAGAUCUUCAUCCAGCUGUCUACAAGGAUGUCUAGGUCACUUGAGUUGAUAGAGUUCAUUUAGAACCCGGUAA